UACGUAGGCAGCAAGCGUUGUUCGGAGUUACUGGGCGUAAAGGGUGCGUAGGCGGUCCUAUAAGUAUGGUGUGAAAUCUCCCGGCUUAACUGGGAGGGUGCGCUAUAGACUGUGGGACUAGAGUGUGGGAGAGGAAAGUGGAAUCCCUGGUGUAGCGGUGAAAUGCGUAGAUAUCAGGAGGAACACCGGUGGUGUAAACGGCUUUCUGGACCAUAACUGACGCUGAGGCACGAAAGCGUGGGUAGCAAACAGG
rnacentral:rRNA from 1 species